rnacentral:rRNA from 1 species
AGAGUUUGAUCCUGGCUCAGGAUGAACGCUAGCGGAAGGCCUAAUACAUGCAAGUCGAACGGGCAUAUUGAUUUCGGUUGAUAUGUUAGUGGCGCACGGGUGAGUAACGCGUACACAACCUGCCUUAUAUUGGGGGAUAGCCCUGGGAAACUGGGAGUAAUACCGCAUAAUAUUAUUGAGAGGCAUCUUUUGAUAAUUAAAGUUUCGGCGGUAUAUGAUUGGUGUGCGUUUGAUUAGCUAGUUGGUAGGGUAACGGCCUACCAAGGCGACGAUCAAUAGCUGGCGUGAGAGCGCGACCAGCCACACUGGAACUGAGACACGGUCCAGACUCCUACGGGAGGCAGCAGUAGGGAAUAUUGGACAAUGGGCGCAAGCCUGAUCCAGCCAUGCCGCGUGAUAGAUGAAGGCCCUCUGGGUUGUAAAUAUCUUUUAUCUGGGAAGAAACUCCUCUAUUCUUAGAGGCCUGACGGUACCAGAGGAAUAAGCACCGGCUAACUCCGUGCCAGCAGCCGCGGUAAUACGGAGGGUGCAAGCGUUAUCCGGAUUCACUGGGUUUAAAGGGUGCGUAGGCGGGCUGAUAAGUCAGUGGUGAAAGCUCCGAGCUUAACUUGGAAACUGCCAUUGAUACUGCCAGUCUUGAAUGUCGUAGAGGUAAGCGGAAUGUUGCAUGUAGCGGUGAAAUGCUUAGAUAUGUUACAGAACACCAAUUGCGAAGGCAGCUUACUAUGCGAUGAUUGACGCUGAGGCACGAAAGCGUGGGGAGCAAACAGGAUUAGAUACCCUGGUAGU